AUUGAACGCUGGCGGCAUGCCUUACACAUGCAAGUCGAACGGCAGCACGGGAGCAAUCCUGGUGGCGAGUGGCGAACGGGUGAGUAAUAUAUCGGAACGUGCCCAGUCGUGGGGGAUAACGUAGCGAAAGCUACGCUAAUACCGCAUACGAUCUAUGGAUGAAAGCGGGGGAUCGCAAGACCUCGCGCGAUUGGAGCGGCCGAUAUCAGAUUAGGUAGUUGGUGGGGUAAAAGCCUACCAAGCCUUCGAUCUGUAGCUGGUCUGAGAGGACGACCAGCCACACUGGAACUGAGACACGGUCCAGACUCCUACGGGAGGCAGCAGUGGGGAAUUUUGGACAAUGGGCGCAAGCCUGAUCCAGCAAUGCCGCGUGCAGGAUGAA
rnacentral:rRNA from 1 species